rnacentral:rRNA from 1 species
UACGUAGGGGGCAAGCGUUGUCCGGAAUCAUUGGGCGUAAAGCGCGUGUAGGCGGCCAGGUAAGUCCGUUCUGAAAGCCCGGGGCUCAACCCCGGGAGGCGGAUGGAUACUGCUUGGCUCGAGUCCGGAAGAGGCGAGUGGAAUUCCCGGUGUAGCGGUGAAAUGCGCAGAUAUCGGGAGGAACACCCAGGGGGAAACCAGCCGACUGGGCAUCUGCUGACGCUGAUGUGCGAGAGCGUGGGGAGCGAACCGG